rnacentral:rRNA from 1 species
GACGUAGGGGGCGAGCGUUGUCCGGAUUCACUGGGUUUAAAGGGUGCGUAGGUGGGUUGGUAAGUCAGUGGUGAAAUCUCCAGGCUCAACUUGGAAACUGCCAUUGAUACUAUUAAUCUUGAAUACCGUGGAGGCCAGCGGAAUAUGUCAUGUAGCGGUGAAAUGCUUAGAUAUGACAUAGAACACCAAUUGCGAAGGCAGCUGGCUACACGAGCAUUGACACUGAUGCACGAAAGCGUGGGGAUCAAACAGG